GUGAGUAACGCGUUGGAAUCUGCCCUAGACUCAGGGAUAACCCACCGAAAGGUGGGCUAAUACCGGAUGGUCCCGCAAGGGUAAAGCUUUUGCGGUCUAGGAGGAUCCUGCGUACUAUCAGCUUGUUGGUAAGGUAACGGCUUACCAAGGCUAUGACGGUUAGCUGGUCUGAGAGGAUGAUCAGCCACAAUGGGACUGAGACACGGCCCAUACUCCUACGGGAGGCAGCAGUAAGGAAUAUUGCACAAUGGGGGAAACCCUGAUGCAGCAACACCGCGUGAUCGAUGAAGCUUUUCGGAGUGUAAAGAUCUUUUCUGAAGGAAUAAUUCUGAAGGUACUUCAGGAAUAAGCACCGGCUAAUUACGUGCCAGCAGCCGCGGUAAUACGUAAGGUGCAAGCGUUAUCCGGAAUCAUUGGGC
rnacentral:rRNA from 1 species